GCAGUUCCAUCUCCUUGAGAUCCUAGUCGCAGUAGCCGUCUUUGUUUCCCUGUGACCUGCAGGUUCUGGGAGAUCUGUAGAGAGGACACCGGGACAUCUCUGAAGCUGUGAAAUGUUUUUGACCGGGCCUGGGUUUCAACCCUCCACCUCCUGCAUAUAGGGCUGGCACCGUACUCCUUUGAGCCACAGGCCUCCCAGGAACACAUCUGUCCUGGGUCUGAUCUCAAAAAUUACCAAAAACUCUCACGUGACUGGGUUGACUGAUGAACUGAUGCCUUAAUGAGGAAAAGAGGCAAGAAAUAGUCUGUGUCUGAUAACAGCAACCUAAUAGUUCCCACAAACUCCACAGAUUUAUACUUUGUUGGAAGCCUGAUCAGAGAGCUGGGGCUUCUGGUUUUGG